ensembl:lncRNA novel transcript
GACUACAAUCAGUACCAUAAAAAAGUAUAUCAUAGACAUGUUUGAUCCGAGACGGAAGGUUCCAGAGUAAGUGACAACUAAGCAGAGAUCUUAAAGAUGUGGGAACACCUACAUGUCUAUGUUCAGAAGCUGCCUUGAUGCCACAUGCGGGAGGCUGGAAACGCUGAAGGAUGACCACUGCUCAGCAGCAGUCUACCAGUGAUGGAUGAGAGUUGGUGCACAAAUACCCCAGCUCCCUUGCCUCUCAGUUUGGAUAAUCCUGAAAAGACCCAGCAAGAAAUGAUUCCAAGAUCACCUAGCUGAUCUCAUGCUCUAUCUGGAUUUGAGUGAAGAUAUACAUAUUCACCAAGUCUUGACUCAGUCACCUUUUGUGCAGCACCAUCCUAUUACAAAUCUGCCAGCCUACAGACUAGUAAAACGCGCUGACCCAAGAGAAAGCAAAAAGCGGCCCCUUUCCCCGGCUCCAGCGCUGCUCGGCCAGGCUUCACUUUUAAAGGCGAGCAUCAUUGGUUCAUGCGCCACAGGAAAUGGAGCCAUCACAGGACGGGCCAAAGACACCUGUCUUCUCAUCCCUCUUCUCACUUUUCACUUCAAAGGCACGCACCUCAUCAGGGAAGAAAAAGGAAAGCUGAGAGGAACUGAGACAGCAGUUUUAGGUGAUGGGUUAAUUAUGCACAGUUGUGCCUUCCUCUCUCCUUUCUCAAUCUUCGCCCCAAGUCCUGCCUCCAGGUUUAUGCUGCAGAGUGUCCGUGGAAGGGUGGCUCUUACAUGGUAGCUCUGAAAAGCUUGACAUUAUUUUACUAAGUGAAUGCAAGAAUUCUCAUGUGGGCAUCUCCACUCAUGGAUAGGAUUGCCAGAUUUAGCAAAUAAAAGUACAAUGAAAUAUCCAAUUACACUUGAAUUUCAGAUAAUCAACAAAUACUUCUUUUUCGUACAGUUAUGCCCUGUUUAACCUCUACUGUUCCACUAGGGAUAUACUUGUAUUGCGCACUUACCUGUUGUUUAUAUAAAAUUCAAAUUUAACCAGGCAUCCCACUCAUGGGGCCCCAGACCAAACGGAAGCCCCCUCCCUACCCCUAGCCAAAUGCUGGUUGAGUUUUUUGGGAUGAUAAUGAGGAAAAUAAGGCCAGAAGACCCACAUUGCCCCUCAUCUAUAGCACCUGAAACUUGGAACCACCCAACAGAUCCAGUUCUGCCCUGCCCUGAAGAGAGUUGCCUUCAUUUUCAGCAGAGUCUAGAGAGUAAUUUAAAGUUUGAAUUGGCCCCUGGAGGAAGAACAUUGUGUUAAACUUCCUAUGUGACUUGAAAUAAAUUUCGUUUUCUCUGUGGGUGUUAA